UACGUAGGGCGCAAGCGUUGUCCGGAAUUAUUGGGCGUAAAGAGCUCGUAGGCGGUUUGUCGCGUCUGCUGUGAAAACCCGAGGCUCAACCUCGGGCCUGCAGUGGGUACGGGCAGACUAGAGUGCGGUAGGGGAGACUGGAAUUCCUGGUGUAGCGGUGGAAUGCGCAGAUAUCAGGAGGAGCACCGAUGGCGAAGGCAGGUCUCUGGGCCGCAACUGACGCUGAGGAGCGAAAGCAUGGGGAGCGAACAGG
rnacentral:rRNA from 1 species